rnacentral:rRNA from 1 species
GAUGAACGCUGGCGGCGUGCCUAAUACAUGCAAGCCGAGCGAAGCAGGGACGCGUGAGUAACACGUGGAUAACCUCCUAUAAGACUGGGAUAACUUCGGGAAACCGGCGCUAAACCGGAAACUUAUAGAUUGAUAUGCGCUGCAUUAGCUAGUUGGUAAGGUAACGGCUUACCAAGGCAACGGUGCAUAGCCGACCAGAGAGGGGUAUCGGGCACACGGGAAAUGAGACACGGCCCAGACUCCUACGGGAGGCAGAAGAAGGGAAUAUUCCGGAACGGGAGAAGGCCUGAUGGAGCCACGCCGCGUGAAUGAUGAAGGUAUACGGGUAGUAAAACUCUGUUAGGGGGGAAGCGGUGCCAAAUCAGAAGGCCACGGCUAACUACGUGCCAGCAGCCGCGGUAAUAC